GUGCUCACUUCGGUAGCACAUCUACUAAAAUUGGGCCGAUACAGAGAUUAGCACAGCCACUGUGAAAGGAUGACACACAAAUUCAUGAAACAUUCCAUAAUAUU
rnacentral:snRNA from 1 species